GUGUUCGCUUCGUUAAGACACAGACUAAAUUUGAAACUAUAUGAAAAAGGGUAGUAUACCACUGCACAGGGAUGACGUGCAAAUUUUUGAAUUUUUCUAAAUAUGA
rnacentral:snRNA from 1 species